rnacentral:lncRNA from 1 species
CCAACCCUGAGGUCCACAAGGACGAGCAAAUUCUACAGCUCUUCUUUUUCCAUGCUCUGGUUCAGAAAUGGGUCACACAUAUUCAAUGCUCUUUAACUAUUUGUUGAAAUCGGAAAGAUUCAAUUACCUUCUGACUCAGUCCUUUUUUGAGUUUGCAGCCAGCCUUCAUAGUCACUCAUGUCCUUGACAAGGGAUGGUUCUCAUCUAUCUGGGAGGGUUAAACACUUCGACCAAAUGAACAAUCUGGGGAGGAAUGAACAGAAGAUUUGAACAGGGAAGAGGAUACCUGACAACAUCUAUAAUACUUCAGUUACACGUGUGAUCAGAACAAAGAUCCUUGCCUGCCUGGAGCUUACAUUCCAAAGACUGAGUCUCGCUCUUUCUCCCAGGCUGGAGUGCUGGGGCGGGAUCUCGACUCACUGCAAGCUCCGCCUCCCGGGUUCACGCCAUUCUCCUGCCUCAGCCUCCUCCCGAGUAGCUGGGACUACAGGCGCCCGCUACGACGCCCGGCUAAUUUUUUGUAUUUUCAGUAGAGACGGGGUUUCACCAUGUUGGCCAGGAUGGUCUCGAUUUCUUGACCUCGUGAUCCACCCGCCUCGACCUCCCAAAGUGCUGGGAUUACAAGCGUGAGCCACCGUGCCCGGCCGAGAGAGUAAAUUUCAACUGUGCUAUUUUAUCUACAUUACCUACUUCUUUCUAGUGCACUAGUUAGAUCACUGGUUUCUGUCAUAUCAUUAUUGUUUCACAUUGUGUGGUCCACAUGGAAUUAGGUGACUAGCUUUAAUCACAGCUGUCAAUACUUCCCAUCAACUUGUAUCCUGAUAUUAUUAAUGAAUGACAUUUCAGCAUCCUAUGAUACAGUAUCUAUUACUGGUUCUUGAAAUUCCUGCUUUUCUAAGUUUACCUGUUGUUUGUUCUAAAACAUACUGUGGCUCUGAGAAGCCACAUACAACUUUAUUUUUGAGGGUUUUUUUGUAGGUGCUUCCUCUCAUUUAAAGAUUUCAGAACAGAGGGAUGCUUUAAAUGCUAUUUUAUUGAUACAAAACACUAAGAGGCCUCCGAUUUUGGUAUCUAUUAAUUAUGUAUUUUAAGAAGAAGAUGCAGUUAACUAAUCCAUUAUUGCUGACAUUUUCAUCUGGGUGCAACCUGAUUUUCGUCAUGUAGACCUUAUUGAAGUUUAGAGAGAUGGUUCUUCUUCUCCCCAGUUUCUUACAAAAUUUACUUUAUUUAGCAGAAGGAACCAUUUUUUUUACUUUUUCUGUUUUAUAGUAUAUUUCAGAAAACAGAAUAAUUAUUUUACAGAAUCUAACUAUAUAUGUGCUAUUGUAGUUUCCUUUUACACAUAACAUUACAAUAAACUUAUUGAGAGGAGAUAAUUUAUUGUCCAUGGAUAGAAUUGCUGUUUCUAAAUCUAAAACCUUAUUUCUUUUACCAAAUAUAAUUUGACUUGUUGCUAUUUUGCUGCACUUACAUGGGCAAAGAAACUGCAUUAUUUAAUUUCAAUAAAUUAUUGCAUACUUGUAUGUCUACAAAUAUACAAGUAUUAUACAUUUUAUAUAACUGUCCAUGCAUAAUUGAAUAACAGCAUUAAAAAGAGGAUAUUAUUUAUGCCAUUCCACCACUUCUGAAAAGGAUUGCAAAAAAACUUUAUAGUGGCAAAACAAAUAACUCAUUAAUUUUUUUAUGUGGUUUUUAAAUUUUUUUAAUUUUUAUUAUACUUUAAGUUCUGGGUUACAUGUGCAGAACGUGCAGUUUUGUUACAUACGUAUACACGAGCCCUGGUGUUUUGCUGAACCCAUCCACCCAUCAUCUACAUUAGAUAUUUCUCCUAAUGUUAUCCCUCCCGUAGACCCCCUUCCCCCGACAGGCCCCAGUAUAUGAUGUUCCCCUCCCUGUGUCCACAUAUUCUCAUUGUUCAACUCCCACUUAUGAGUGAGAACAUGCAAUGUUUGGUUUUCUGAUCUUGUGAUAGUUUGCUGAGAAUGAUGGUUUCCAGCUUCAUCCAUGUCCCUGCAAAGGACACAAACUCAUCCUUUUU